GACACUUGUGCAAAUUCAGUGUUUUGUAUUACUGUCUAUAUUCCAACAAUAAAGGUAGGAAUAAUUAGCAUAUGUUUAUGGUUGAGGCAGAGAGUAACUUUUAUGAUCUUAUAAAAUCAUUUAAAUAAAUAAUUUAUAAAUAUUAAGGAUGACGUUCACUAAUCCUUUUAUUAUCAGCAGAAACUUUUUUUAUCCAAAGAGGGAAAAGAGUAGAGAGAGGAGAAGAAACAAAAUAUAGAGAAGGAUGGAAUGUGUGAGCAAAGAUUGGAGCUAGAGAAGUAGAAGAAAGAAAUUCAUUUUUAUCACUUCAGUGAAAAUGAAGACAGAUUAGGUACCCUUCUACUAGUCUUCCUCAAUCUGCUACUCUGAGAGGGCCUUGCUUCUACCUCUGAGAGGGAAAGUUUCUUGAACUGAUUCUAUAUAGAAAUAUAGUGAGUUUAUUACAUUCAUUUAUUACAUUCAUUUAGUAUCUCUAAGUAAUAUCACAUGGUAAUGAAAUAUGUAUAGAGAAACACCACAGUUGCAUAUUCAGAUAUUGAACUCAACAGAGAGGUCUGGUAAAGAGAUGCUAAUAUGGGAGACUUCCAUCUUGAGAUAACAAUUAAAGCAGAGGAAGUUUAUGAUUCUGUUCAAAGAAAGGUAUAAAGGCAGAGGAAAGAAUGUUUAGGUAGAAGGGUAGAAUAAGAAGAUGGGUGUUCAUUUAUUAAACAAUUAUGAAAUUCCUUUUACAUGCCAGGUACUAUGCCAGUAUCUGGGAGAUUCAGUGAUACGUAACACAUGAUACCUACCCUAAAGAGCUCACUGUCUAGUAAGAUUGACAAAUAUAUAAACAAAUAAUUUCAGUAUUUUGGAAUAAGAAGCAUAAUAUUAUGGAAAUAAGAGGUAGGUAUGGUAGGCCAGGGUGAAGGUGGGGGCAGUUAAUAAACUCUGGUGGGCCCAAAGAAAGCUUCACAGAGUAGGCAGUGCUUGAGCUGCUAGGGUAUAUCCAAGAUUGUGGUAUAUCACCGAAUAAUGUUAAACAGGGAAAAUUAUCAAAAUCUAUGUUGCAGGAAGCUCACUCUGAUGUCAUGUGAAGAUGCAUUUGAGAAGUGAGAGACUUUUAAAGUCAAAGAGACUUUAAAAGACAAGGCAAGAGAUAUUGAAGAUGAAGGAGCUGAGUAGAUAGAUAUGAGGGAUGUUAAAAUUGGAGAAUCUGGGAUCUAGUGACCACUCGAAGCAUUAGAAGUGGGCAGUAUGAGAAAGAGAAAAAUACAGGCUAUUUUUAGGUUGCUGGUUUGAGUGACUGCUGGAUGAUUGCAUUAUGAAUCAAAAUUGACAAUUUAGGAAAAAAACUUAAUUUUUGUUUUGGAAAUGUCAUAGAAUAUCCAGGCAUAGGUUUCUGGUAGGCUUUUGUAUCUAUAGGUCUGGAUUUAGACACUGAAAUCCAUACUAGGGCUGUAGUUUUGAGAAUUGACAGUACUGAUUAAGGUGUACAAACCCUGUACAUUGACAGAGUUUAUAUAGAGUGAGAACAAGAUGAAAGAUACCCUGGGAGAUAAAGAACAGGUAGAUUAGCUUUUGAAAGAUAUUGAGAAGUGACUUAAAAAAUAUUAGAGAAUCAGGAAAGUAUAGUAA